rnacentral:sRNA from 1 species
CGCCAACAUUACCAACUAGUAUUACAAUGACACCAAUUAAAGCAGGUAAAAUAAUAUUUGAGCCUCUUUGCAAACUAUCGAUUAACGCAUUACUUGUUGCUAAAUGCUCCUCAUCAAUAAUUUCAGGAAGAAUUGCCCUAAACGCAGGAUCCGUAUAGCAGUUAAUAAUGGUGAUAGCUGUAGAUAUGGUUAGAAGCGUCAGAUAAUUUAAAUUUGAUGUUAUUGCAAGUAAAGGAAUAAUUAUAAUAAUCAAACUUAGUAUAAGAUCAGA